rnacentral:rRNA from 1 species
GUUCGGAUUGCAGUCUGCAACUCGAGUGCAUGAAGCUGGAAUCGCUAGUAAUCGCGGAUCAGAAUGCCGCGGUGAAUACGUUCCCGGGUCUUGUACACACCGCCCGUCACACCAUGGGAGUCGGGAAUGCCCGAAGCCGGUGGCCCGAUCGAGAGAAGGGAGCCGUCGAAGGCAGGCCGGAUGACUGGGGUGAAGUCGUAACAAGGUAUC